rnacentral:lncRNA from 10 species
UAGCCGCAGCGGAGUAGGGGACGGGGAGGAGAUGAGGUCAGGGAACCAAGGCAGGUGCAGGAGGGGGUUUGCGGGUGGAGCUUGCGUGCUUGGAAAGUUCCAGAAGCAGCAAGGAAGCCAGGCGUAAGUUGGGAGCGACUGAGCCACUCCAGGAGGAGGUGUGGGCCCACGGCGUGUUGGAGGUGGAGCCACAGGACCUGUCCAUAGGUUGGAUGCUGUGUGGGUGACAGAGAGAAACCGGGGCUCACGGCCUGGGCAGCGGGACGGGCGGAGUCGUCCUCACCUGUGCUGGGGACCCUGUGGGAGCAGCAGGCUUCCGAGCACGUGCUGGACCCCGGCGUCUCCGGCUGCACCGAGUGGUCAGGACAUUGAGGCCGGGUCAGGGAGCGUGAGAUACCGGGACGAGCGGGCCCAGGGCUGAGCCCAGCGGCGUCCGGGUGGGCGGUGGCGUUGAGAUGGGAAUUGGGAAUUGCACCGGUGGUCUCAGGAGGAUGGAAAACCCAAGCAGCAGCUGCACCAGGACCGAGGCAAAGGGACCGCAGUUUAACAGAAAACCCAAAACGAGAGCGAGAAAACGGCCAAACACCCGUGCGAGGAGGAAACCCAAGCUCCGCCGAGCGCGGCGGGUCUGUGCCUUCGCUUCGCUUCCAGCCUCUCGCUUCCUUCUGACCCGACCCCGAGUUCUUUCUCCGGACGGUGUCGAGAACCCGGGCGCCGGCUGGGGCUGGAGUCUCGCUGGCCUCGGAGCG